rnacentral:RNase_P_RNA from 2 species
UACCGAUGUCUGAUAGUCGCUAACUACUUCGGUAGUUAGAGGAAAGUCCGGACAUGCCCACGGUUUACCGUGGAGGAGGGUAGCGGGUAACACCCGUCGACCGCGAGAGCGGUAGAGGUGCGAGCAGAGACGCCCCGAUCGAAAGAAACGGGAUUCCGCAAUUGUGGAAUAGCUCUCAUGGCAACAUGAGAGGUGAAACGGCUAAAUCCUUACCUGCAUGCAAGGCCGUACUCCUACGUUCGCGUAGGUUUGAGCCGCUCGAGUGUACUGGCAACAGUACACCUAGGUAAAUGACUAUCACUCACUCACGUGAGAACAGAAUCCGGCUUAUAGACAAAUAUACAUG